GCCCAGGUAGCUCAGUUGGUAGAGCAGCGGACUGAAAAUCCGCGUGUCGCUGGUUCAAAUCCGGCCCUGGGCACCA
rnacentral:tRNA from 1 species